GAUGAACGCUGGCGGCGUGCUUAACACAUGCAAGUCGAACGGAAAGGCUCCUGCUUGCAGGGGUACUCGAGUGGCGAACGGGUGAGUAACACGUGGGUGAUCUGCCCUGCACUUCGGGAUAAGCCUGGGAAACUGGGUCUAAUACCGGAUAGGACCACAUUUUGGAUGGUGUGGUGGAAAGUUUUUCGGUGUGGGGUGAGCUCGCGGCUUAUCAGCUUGUUGGUGGGGUAAUGGCGUACCAAGCCGUCGACGGGUAGCCGGCUUGAGAGGGUGUACGGCCACAUUGGGACUGAGAUACGGCCCAGACUCCUACGGGGGGCAGCAGUGGGGAAUAUUGCACAAUGGGCGCAGGCCUGAGGCAGCGACGCCGCGUGGGGGAUGACGGCCUUCGGGUUGUAAACUCCUUUCGCUAGGGACGAAGCGUUUUUGUGACGGUACCUGGAGAAGAAGCACCGGCUAACUACGUG
rnacentral:rRNA from 1 species